CUAGUACUCCCUUUGUUCCGAAUUACUUGUCUUGGAUUUGUCCAGAUACGGAUGUAUCUAGACCCAUUUUAAUGCUAGAUAUCUCCGUAUCCAGACAAAUUUAAGACAAGUAAUUCGGAACGGAGGGAGUACAUU
rfam:Triticum aestivum genome assembly, contig: Triticum_aestivum_CS42_TGACv1_scaffold_000962_1AL